AAGUGAAAAGGAGAAGAAGAUCCUUGUGAAAAAGGAAGGUGGUGACCAGUUUGUCAUUAAAAAGUUGAGCGCUAAACAGGAUGAAUUAAACGUUCUUCUCCAGCUAAGUCAUCCACACAUCAUCCAUCAUAAUGAAAUCAUAAGAGAUCCUGACUGUUCAUAUCUUGUUCUGGAGCACUGUGAAAGUGGAGAUCUCUCUCAGAAAAUCAAAAACAAAAAGGAGGGAACAGUUGA